GCCAGACUCCUACGGGAGGCAGCAGUGGGGAAUAUUGGGCAAUGGGCGCAAGCCUGACCCAGCAACGCCGCGUGAAGGAAGAAGGCUUUCGGGUUGUAAACUUCUUUUAAGAGGGAAGAGUAGAAGACGGUACCUCUUGAAUAAGCUCCGGCUAAAUACGUGCCAGCAGCCGCGGUAAUACGUAUGGAGCAAGCGUUAUCCGGAUUUACUGGGUGUAAAGGGAGCGUAGGCGGCCUGCCAAGUCUGAUGUGAAAUACCGGGGCUCAACCCCGGGGCUGCAUUGGAAACUGGCAGGCUGGAGUGUCGGAGAGGCAGGCGGAAUUCCUAGUGUAGCGGUGAAAUGCGUAGAUAUUAGGAGGAACACCAGUGGCGAAGGCGGCCUGCUGGACGAUGACUGACGCUGAGGCUCGAAAGCGUGGGGAGCAAACAGGAUUAGAUACCCGGGUA
rnacentral:rRNA from 1 species